rnacentral:lncRNA from 1 species
GGGGGAUAUUAUGUUUUAUGAGUUUAGAAAAUAAACCUAGUCGCCAUACAGUAUCAAAUGCCUUUUUUAAGUCUAUGAAGGCAGCAAAAACUUUUUUCUUUUUUUGUCUAUAUUGAUCAGUUAUGGUCUUAAGAGUGAAUAUGUGGUCAGCUGUACGACUUUUCUCUUUAAAACCUAUUUGAUUUUUACUUAUUAAAUUUUUGAUAUCCAUAAAUUUUACUAAACGUU